rnacentral:rRNA from 1 species
UGAAUACGAGACGCUAAGGCGUCGAAGUAGUGUAUGUCAUACUUCCAAGAAAAGCUUGCACUGUCAUAGAUAAAAAACGCCUGUACCAUAACCGACACAGGUGGGUAGGUAGAGUAUACUAAGGGGCGCGAGAUAACUCUCUCUAAGGAACUCGGCAAAAUAACUCCGUAACUUCGGGAGAAGGAGUGCCUUAUUCGUAAGGUUGCAAUAACAAGAUCCAAGCAACUGUUUAUCAAAAACACAGGUCUCCGCUAAGUCGUAAGACGAUGUAUGGGGGCUGACGCCUGCCCAGUGCCAGAAGGUUAAAGAAGUUGGUUAGCAAUUGCGAAGCUGAUAACUGAAGCCCUGGUGAACGGCGGCCGUAACAAUAACGGUCCUAAGGUAGCGAAAUUCCUUGUCGGGUAAGUUCCGACCCGCACGAAAGGCGUAAUGAUUUGGAUACUGUCUCGGAGAGGGGCUCGGUGAAAUAGACUUGUCUGUGAAGAUGCGGACUACCUGCACCAGGACAGAAAGACCCUAUGAAGCUUUACUGUAACUUGAAAUUGAAAUUGGACUUUAUUCGCGCAGUAUAGGUGGGAGGCGUUGAUUAUAAUCUUGUGGGAUUAUUGGAGCCAUCAGUGGGAUACCACUCUUGUAAUGUUAGAUUUCUAACUUUGAAUCAUUAUCUGGUCAAAGAACAGUUUCAGGCGGGCAGUUUGACUGGGGCGGUCGCCUCCUAAACGGUAACGGAGGCGUACAAAGGUUUCCUCUGAACGGUUAGAAAUCGUAUCUAGAGUGUAAAGGCAUAAGGAAGCUUGACUGUGAGACCUACAAGUCGAGCAGGGACGAAAGUCGGUCUUAGUGAUCUGACGGUACUGAGUGGAAAGGCCGUCACUCAACGGAUAAAAGUUACUCUAAGGAUAACAGGCUGAUCUCCCCCAAGAGUUCACAUCGACGGGGAGGUUUGGCACCUCGAUGUCGGCUCAUCGCAUCCUGGGGCGGUAGUACGUCCCAAGGGUUGGGCUGUUCGCCCAUGAAAGCGGUACGCGAGCUGGGUUCAGAACGUCGUGAGACAGUUCGGUCCAUAUCCGGUGUAGGCGUUAGAAUAUUGAGAGGAGCCUUCUUUAGUACGAGAGGACCGAGAAGGACAUACCUCUGGUGUACCAGUUAUCGUGCCAACGGUAAACGCUGGGUAGCUAUGUAUGGAGUGGAUAACCGCUGAAAGCAUCUAAGUGGGAAGCCCACCUCAAGAUAAGUAUUCUCAGC